GGUGGACGAACAAGAGUCAGAGUUGUUGUUCUUUCCAUCUCCUCAAUACUCAGUCUCCACUCCCAUUUGAGCCAACUCCUCCAAGAAGCCGAUAAAGAUAAUCGUAAAUGUGCACACAGAGAUGGAUGGAGAGAGAUUAAGAGAGGAAUUCUAGGACUGUCAAACUACUACCAUGUCAAAUCAUCACCCACCUUCAACCCUGCCUCUUGACACCUUCAUAUACUGCAAGAACCACUACCAGUACAGGGCUAUGGCUGCUACCGUGAUUUCAAAUAUCUCUAAUAGCAACCUCUGAGGACAACCAUCCAAAGGCAAGAUGGAAUGUGGGGUACCGCUGCAAGUGUUGCCUUGAAAAGAAAAGACUGCAGUUGAUUCAAAUGCUCCAACUACUGCUUGCAGUGCACACAAGGCUGAGACCGCUGCAAGUGUUGCCUUGAAAAGAAAAGACUGCAAUUGAUUCAAAUUCUCCAGCUACUGCUUGCAGUGCACACAAGAUUGAGACAGGGCUGAUGAAUAACUUUAUAUGUAAUAACAUUAUAACCUUAUUUCACAAAGAUCAAGGUCCUUAAUGUUUUUCUUUUAAUAUGUUUUUUUUAUUUAUUUAAAUGGAUGUAGUUUAUUUAAAGAUAUGUAAAGCAUUCUUGUGUUUGCA